GCUCAGAACGAACGCUGGCGGCGUGGAUAAGACAUGCAAGUCGAACGCUGAUUAGGGGGUAGCAAUAUUCCCUAGUUGGAGUGGCGCAAGGGUGCGUAACACGUGGGUAAUCUGCCGUGAAGCCUGGGAUAACUCGCUGAAAGGCGAGCUAAUACCGGAUGUGAUGAAAGGUUGGCAUCAAUUGGACAUCAAAGCUGGGGACCGCAAGGCCUGGCCCUUCACGAUGAGCCCGCGGCCUAUCAGCUAGUUGGUGAGGUAACGGCUCACCAAGGCUAAGACGGGUAGCUGGUCUGAGAGGACGACCAGCCACACUGGAACUGAGACACGGUCCAGACACCUACGGGUGGCAGCAGUCGAGAAUUUUUCACAAUGGGCGCAAGCCUGAUGGAGCGACGCCGCGUGGGGGAUGAAGGGUUUCGAUCCGUAAACCCCUGUCAUUUGCGAACAAUGGUUAACUGAUAACACCGGUUAACUUGAUUGUAGUGAAAGAGGAAGGGACGGCUAACUCUGUGCCAGCAGCCGCGGUAAUACAGAGGUCCCAAGCGUUGUUCGGAUUCACUGGGCGUAAAGGGUGCGUAGGUGGCCAGGUAAGUUCGGUGUGAAAGCUCGGAGCUCAACUCCGAAAAGUCAUUGAAUACUAUCUGGCUGGAGGGUCGGAGGGGAGACUGGAAUUCUCGGUGUAGCAGUGAAAUGCGUAGAUAUCGAGAGGAACACCAGUGGCGAAGGCGAGUCUCUGGACGACAUCUGACACUGAGGCACGAAAGCUAGGGGAGCAAACGGGAUUAGAUACCCUGGUAGUCCUAGCUGUAAACGGUGCACGUUUGCUGUAAGAGGAAUCGACCCCUUUUGUGGCGAAGCUAACGCGAUAAACGUGCCGCCUGGGGAGUACGGUCCGCAGAUAAAACUCAAAG
rnacentral:rRNA from 1 species